CCUUAGAUGUUCUGGGCCGCACGCGCGCUACACUGACAGAGCCAACGAGUAUAAACCUUGGCCGAGAGGUCUGGGUAAUCUUGUUAAACUCUGUCGUGCUGGGGAUAGAGCAUUGCAAUUAUUGCUCUUCAACGAGGAAUAUCUAGUAAGCGCGAGUCAUCAGCUCGCGUUGAUUACGUCCCUGCCCUUUGUACACACCGCCCGUCGCUACUACCGAUUGAAUGGCUCAGUGAGGCCUUCGGACUGGCUCAGGGAGGUCGGCAACGACCACCCAGAGCCGGAAAGUUGGUCAAACUUGGUCAUUUAGAGGAAGUAAAAGUCGUAACAAGGUUUAGAGUGAUCCUUCCGUGACUGCUUACGAGAAGCCUUUGUGGCCCUGCAAAGGGUAUUCGCCGCGACUCAAAACAAGAAUGUGGAUAUUAAAUCGCAAGUCCGCCGUACGGCUGGCCACACUUUCGAAUUGCGGGAACACCCUAAAGCCCAAUUCUACCAAACCAUGACGGAGAGAUCCGGUGGUGGCCUAUGCUAAUCCCAUAGGGUACGGUAACAACGAAGCGGGAUACAGAGGAUGGGUAAUCCGCAGCCAAGUCCGGUUUCGUUACCGGAAAGGUUCACAGACUAAGUGGAAGUGGGCUGAACGCCGUUCAGCUUAAGAUAUAGUCGGGCCCGAGGAGAAAUCCCAGGGGAAGUCACCUUGCUUGACAAGUAACAAACCGUUCCGUAGGUGAACCUGCGGAAGGAUCAUUAAAAAGUCCAACCUGACUCUUUGAGCCCUUCGCCGGGCGCAAAGUUAAACCCAUUGUGAAACAGACCUUUUGCUUCGGCAGCUGGCUGAGCUUAACCGCUUGCGCCAUCAGCCUGCCGGCAGCGCCAAACCAAACUUGUUUAAAUACCAGUCUGAAUCCAAUCAUUUUUGAAUGAAAUCAAAACUUUCAACAACGGAUCUCUUGGUUCUCGCAUCGAUGAAGAACGCAGCGAAACGCGAUAGUUAAUGUGAAUUGCAGAAUUCAGUGAAUCAUCGAGUCUUUGAACGCACAUUGCGCCCAUUGGUAUUCCGAUGGGCAUGUCUGUUUGAGCGUCAUUACAAACCCUCGGCUGGCUUUUUUUGCCAGACUGGUCCUGAGCAUGGCCGUCCUGACCGGCGUCCGGCUUUAAAUUGUACGCUCUGCGGGUGACCCAACCUGAACGAACAUAGUAGAAUCUCUAACCUGUUCCGUUAAGGCAGAGUCAGCUCCGCCUGAACAACAAACCCACUUCUCAUGGUUUGACCUCAGAUCAGACAAGGAUACCCGCUGAACUUAAGCAUAUCAAUAAGCGGAGGAAAAGAAACCAACAGGGAUUGCCUCAGUAACGGCGAGUGAAGCGGCAACAGCUCAAAUUUGAAAUCUGAAGUCUUUGUCUUCCGAGUUGUAAUUUGAAGAGGAUUCUACGGAUACGGUCCCGGCCUAAGUUCCUUGGAACAGGACGUCAUAGAGGGUGAGAAUCCCGUCUUUGGCUGACGGCUUGCUUCCACGUGUAGUUCCUUCGAAGAGUCGAGUUGUUUGGGAAUGCAGCUCAAAACGGGUGGUAAAUUUCAUCUAAAGCUAAAUACUGGCGAGAGACCGAUAGCGCACAAGUAGAGUGAUCGAAAGAUGAAAAGCACUUUGAAAAGAGAGUUAAACAGUACGUGAAAUUGUUGAAAGGGAAGCGCUUGCAAUCAGACUUGCUGCGGUUGUUCCAGGUUCCUUCUGGUUCCUGUACUCUGCCGUUUGCAGGCCAGCAUCGGUUGGCGCGGCGGGACAAAGACUCUGGGAAUGUGGCUCUCUUCGGGGAGUGUUAUAGCCCAGUGUGCAAUGCCGCCAGUGCCGACCGAGGUCCGCGCUUUUGCUAGGAUGCUGGCUUAAUGGUUGUAAGCGAC
rnacentral:rRNA from 1 species